UUCCCAAAUAAUAGCAUAGAAAUAUAGAUACAAAAUCGAUCAUUAUAGUUUAUAUGGGCCUCAGUUAAACCGAAAACAUCAUCAUAUGGGAUUUUAAAAUAACUGGCACCUCAAAAACCCUAGAGAUUAUAAGAGCAUAAUUCGAUCUCUACCUUUAGCCUCCUCCUUCCCUCUAAUUCGCCGUUCGCUACUCCGUCUCCGUCAUGGCGCCGAAGAAGGACAAGGUUCUGCCAGCAUCGUCAAAGCCGGCGAAAUCCAGAAGUGGAAAGCAGAAGAAGAAGAAUGCCACAGGAGUGGCAUAUGUUCUUCAUGCUUGUUCUAAAUUAAAUUCAGAGGGACAAAAAUGUGAUGAGGGCACAGAGGCAGUACUUGCAUUCCCUGAUGAUCCCAGAAGACAAGAUUCUGCAACGUUUGGAGAUUUUGUUACUAGCGAAACAGAUGAAGUUAUUAAUGCUCAAACUCAAAGGAUGCAAACGGAAGGAGAAGUAGAAUGCCAUUGGAACAUGGAGACUCUUGAUAUUGUGCAGGAGGAAGGCAUCACCAGUGCUUAUGAGGAGCAACAUAGUGGAAAGUUUCAGCCGAAGCCUAGAUUGCUUGACACUGUGAUUGAAGAAGAACCUGGGUCUCAUUACUCUGUUGAUGAUACAACUGGUGCUAAUCAGUCUGAGUGUAUGGUCAAUGACGAAUCAAGAAACGAUGAAUGCACCAAUACUGCAUUUUAUGGGGAGUAUCAAGAAGAAGAACAUAAUAUUCCACAAGUUCAUAAAGAAUCGGCUCCUGACGUACUGGAACAAGAGCAUCGUGUUGUCUCACCUAGUAAUAACGAUACUGUUAUGGGACAAGGAGAAACGCAGUCUAAUGAAGCGGAAACACGUACUGACAAAAAGGGAGAAAAGAAGAGAGGUCGAAAGAAGAAAGCCACUACUAAUGAAGAAGAAGCAAAUAAGUCUCCUGAGAAGAAGAAGUUGAAGCAUUCGAGUCGUCGGCAGAAAAACACAUUGGAGAAGGAAUUGCUUGAAACCCCGGAUGAUGAUAUCAAACAUCUGCCUAUUAGAGAUAUGCUUCGCCUUGUUGCAUAUAGAGAAUCGCUGGAGAAAAAAGAAGCAAAGGGAGCUCCUGUUGUGCCGCCGACCCAAGAAAGUAAUAAUACAAACGCAUCUUGGGAUAACCAGUAUUAUUCACAGGGUUUUGACGCACAAGACGAGUUUGGUAUGGAGGAAGGAGAAAAUCACGUACAAGUUAAACCGGACUCACCGGUUAACUAUCAAACGUACAUGAAAAAGACUCCCAGAACUCGAUGGUCAAAACAGGAGACACAGGUCUUCUACGAGGGAAUUCAAGCGUUUGGGAUCAAUCUAUCGAUGGUACAACAGUUCUUGCCUGAAAGAAGAACGCUACACCAGAUCAAACUGAAAUACAAGUUGGAAGAACGCAAGAAUCCAUUGAAGAUUGAUGAUGCAUUAUCAACUCCCUGCAAAGAUCUUACUCGUUAUCAUAUUGUGCUUAAGAAGCUUCAGCAAGAAGCUGCGCCUGCAAAUGAAGAAGAAGAGCCUGGAGAAGAGGCAGAGACAACUAGUGAUGUUCCUGAGAAUGAGGAGCAGACUAAGACUGAUGGAGUAGCUGGUGAUGGAGUUAAGGAAUCGGACGGUGAGGAUGUUGAGAAUGGCGUCAGAUCAGACGGUGGAGAUCAAUUCGACGAAAAUGAAGGAGAUGAUGAUGAUUUUUGGAAUUCUUAUAAAAGUGAGAUGUAACAAAAAAAGAAGAAGAAGGUUGUGUGAAGGCUGUGCUGGAUAGAAUCUUGGCCAGAGGUGGUUAAAUACCCUGAAGUAGAUGCAAAACGUAUUCUUGUACAGAUUCUAUCCGCAACAGCAUUUUUUCGUCUCCAAGGUGUUGUGCACCGUGACCUAAAGCCAGAGAACUUUCUCUUCACCAGCAGAAACGAGGAUGCAGUACUCAAGGUCAUAGACUUUGGCUUAUCUGAUUUCAUUAGAUACGAUCGACGACUCAAUGUACUAUGUUGCACCUGAAGUACUCCAUAGAUCUUACAGCACUGAAGCAGAUAUGUGGAGCAUUUGUGUGAUAUAAGUUACAUACUACUCUGUGGAAGAACUGAAUCUGCAAUAUUCCGUUGUGUGCUUAGAGCAAACCCUAAUUUUGAGGAUUUGCCGUGGCCUUCUCCUACUGGUAAAGACUUUGUGAAAAGGCUUCUGAACAAGGAUCAUAGGAAACGAAUGACAGCUGCUCAAGCUCUAGCUCAUCUGUGGUUACGUGAUGGAAACCCUGGUUUGCUUCUUGAUUUCUCGGUUUACAAGCUGGUUAGGUAUUAUAUUCGCGCCUCGCCAUUCAGAAGAUCAGCACUUAAGGCUCUCUCCAAAGCUAUACCUGAUGAGGAGCUUGUGUUCCUUAAGGCGCAGUUCAUGCUCCUAGACCCUAAAGAUGGAGGCCUAUCUCUUAACAGCUUCACAACGGUCAGUGUUUUCCUGAUUUAGCUAUAGCAUAUUUGAUUCGGUCUUUUAAUAAUGUGUGAAUCAAAAUAAAGUAAAUGCUAUGCUUUUUGCAAUAAUAAGUAUAUUCAAUAAUAAGCUAUACUUUAUGCUUUUUGUACGUUUUAUUUUAACUGAAUCGUGAUCACAUGUAUUAUAACAGAGAACUGUGUCAUUAUAAGAAAGUUGUCUUAAUAUAAUAAAAAUUUGUUUAUUUA